UACGGAGGGUGCAAGCGUUAUCCGGAUUCACUGGGUUUAAAGGGUGCGUAGGUGGGUUGAUAAGUCAGUGGUGAAAUCCCCGAGCUUAACUUGGGAACUGCCAUUGAUACUAUUAGUCUUGAAUACCGUGGAGGUCGGCGGAAUAUGUCAUGUAGCGGUGAAAUGCUUAGAUAUGACAUAGAACACCAAUUGCGAAGGCAGCUGGCUACACAAAUAUUGACACUGAGGCACGAAAGCGUGGGGAUCAAACAGG
rnacentral:rRNA from 1 species